AUUGAACGCUGGCGGCGUGCCUAAUACAUGCAAGUCGAACGCAGUGGGGACGGGUGAGUAACACGUGGGUAACCUCCCAUCAGAGGGGAUAACACUUGGAAACAGGUGCUAAACCGAUACUGAUGGAUGGACCCGCGGGGCAUUAGCUAGUUGGGGGGGUAACGGCUCACAAAGGCCACGAUGCAUAGCGGACCGGGGAGGGGGAUCGGCCAAACGGGGACUGGGAAACGGCCAGGACUCCUAGGGAGGGCAGAAUGAGGGAUUCUUCGGCAAUGGACGAAAGUCUGACCGAGCAACGCCGCGUGAGGGAAGAAGGUUUUGGGAUGGUAAAACUCUGUUGUUAGAGAAGCGGUAUCGAACAAGAAAGCCACGGCGAACUACGGGCCAGCCGCCGCGUAAUUC
rnacentral:rRNA from 1 species